rnacentral:rRNA from 1 species
CGUGAAGCCAACCUCAAGAUGAGAUUUCCCAUAGCGUAAGCUAGUAAGAUCCCUUGAAGAACACAAGGUUGAUAGGUCGGGGGCGUAAGCAUGGUAACAUGUUCAGCUGACCGAUACUAAUAGAUCGAGGGCUUGACCAA